CCUACGGGUGGCUGCAGUGAGGGAUAUUGGUCAAUGGGCGAAACCCUGAACCAGCCACGCCGCGUGAGGGAAGACGGUUUUCUGAUUGUAAACCUCUGUCCUCUGUGAAGAUACUGACGGUAGCAGAGGAGGAAGCUCCGGAUAACUACGUGCCAGCAGCCGCGGUAAUACGUAGGGAGCAAGCGUUGUUCGGAUUUACUGGGUGUAAAGGGUGCGUAGGCGGCCCUGCAAGUCAAAAGUGAAAUCCAUGGGCUUAACCCGUGAACUGCUUUUGAAACUGGAGGGCUUGAGUGAAGUAGAGGCAGGCGGAAUGCCAGGUGUAGCGGUGAAAUGCGUAGAGAUCGGGAGGAACACCAGUGGCGAAGGCGGCCUGCUGGGCUUUAACUGACGCUGAAGCACGAAAGCGUGGGUAGCAAACAGGAUUAGAUACCCUGGUAGUC
rnacentral:rRNA from 1 species